UGGGGAAUAUUGCACAAUGGGGAAACCCUGAUGCAGCGACGCCGCGUGAACGAAGAAGGUAUUCGUAUCGUAAAGUUCUGUCCUAUGGGAAGAUAAUGACAGUACCAUAGAAGAAAGCUCCGGCUAAAUACGUGCCAGCAGCCGCGGUAAUACGUAUGGAGCGAGCGUUGUCCGGAAUUAUUGGGCGUAAAGGGUACGCAGGCGGUUUAAUAAGUCGAAUGUUAAAGAUCGGGGCUCAACCCCGUAAAGCAUUGGAAACUGAUAAACUUGAGUAGUGGAGAGGAAAGUGGAAUUCCUAGUGUAGUGGUGAAAUACGUAGAUAUUAGGAGGAAUACCAGUAGCGAAGGCGACUUUCUGGACACAAACUGACGCUGAGGUACGAAAGCGUGGGGAGCAAACAGG
rnacentral:rRNA from 1 species